rnacentral:rRNA from 1 species
UACGAAGGGUGCAAGCGUUAAUCGGAAUUACUGGGCGUAAAGCGUGCGUAGGCGGUUUGUUAAGUCCGAUGUGAAAGCCCUGGGCUCAACCUGGGAAUGGCAUUGGAAACUGGCGAGCUAGAGUAAGGUAGAGGAGUGCGGAAUUCCUGGUGUAGCGGUGAAAUGCGUAGAGAUCAGGAGGAACAUCCGUGGCGAAGGCGGCACUCUGGACCAUUACUGACGCUGAGGCACGAAAGCGUGGGGAGCAAACAGGAUUAGAUACCCUGGUAGUCCACGCCCUAAACGAUGCGAACUGGACGUUGGGCUCAACUUGGAGCUCAGUGUCGAAGCUAACGCGUUAAGUUCGCCGCCUGGGGAGUACGGUCGCAAGACUG